UACGUAGGGUGCAAGCGUUGUCCGGAAUUAUUGGGCGUAAAGGGCUCGUAGGCGGUCCAUCACGUCGGGAGUGAAAAGCUGGGGCUUAACCCCAGUCCUGCUCCGAUACGGGUGGACUAGAGGUAGGCAGGGGAGAACGGAAUCCUGGUGUAGCGGUGAAAUGCGCAGAUAUCAGGAGGAACACCGGUGGCGAAGGCGGUUCUCUGGGCCUUACCUGACGCUGAGGAGCGAAAGCGUGGGGAGCGAACAGG
rnacentral:rRNA from 1 species